AGGGUGUAAACGCUGCAGACUUGGUGUUGGGGGCCCGUUUGGGGGCAUUCAGUGCCGGAGAGAAGUUGUUAAGUCUGCUACUUGGGGAGUACGUCCGCAAGGAUGAAACUUAAAGGAAUUGGCGGGGGAGCACCGCAACGGGAGGAGCGUGCGGUUUAAUUGGAUUCAACACCGUAAACUCACCAGGGAAGACUGUUACAUGAAGGCCGAGAUGAAGACUCUGCUAGAUUUUCAGAGAGGAGGUGCAUGGCGUCAGUGACU
rnacentral:rRNA from 1 species